AAAUAAUUCAAGCGAAUUAAUUCAUAGGAUUAUUUUUGCUUAAAGUUUUUAAUUUUCUUCGUGUUGGUUUGUUGUGUGAGGAUUCUGUCUAAUCAAAAAAAUGUACUACUGCUUGCAGCGGGUUGAGAUACGCACCAUGUCUGACAGGUGUCCGAGAUGUACUAAACCAGUCUACUUUGCAGAGCAGAUGCUGGCACUGGGAAAGAAGUACCAUAAGCUGUGUCUCAAAUGUGCUGAAUGCAACAAGCUUUUGGAUAGCUACACCUGCACAAACCACGAGGAUGAGGUGUUUUGCAAAGCGUGCUACAGUAAGAAGUUCGGGCCCAAGGGUUACGGGUUUGCAGGAGGUGCAUCUGGUCUAUCCAUGGACACUGGAACUCCUUUUGAGGUGACUCGUGGGAAUGUCUCAAGCUAUCAGCAGGCUCAGGCGGCCCCCAUCCUGGAGCGUAACGGGGGUGGAGGAAAGUUGGGGGGCGGCGACUCGUGCCCUAGGUGCAACAAGACUGUCUACUUCGCUGAGGAGGUCCGCGCUGUGGGCCGGAAGUGGCACAAGAUGUGUCUCCAAUGUGCUAAGUGCAACAAGAUUCUGGACAGCACUUCCUGUGCAGAUCACGAAGGGGAGGUGUUCUGUAAGGCAUGUCACGGCAAAAUGUUCGGGCCCAAGGGCUACGGGUUUGCUGGGGGAGCAUCUGGGCUAUCCAUGGAUACCGGCAAAGCGUUUGAGGUGACCAGGGACAAUGUGUCAUCAUUUAGCAAGGCCCAAGCUGCCCCCCUGCUAGCAAAUGGAACUGGCCUGUCAGUGGGAGGUGGGGAGAUUUGUGCCGCAUGUGGCAAGUCAGUGUUCUUUGCUGAGAAAAUCAUGGGGGCUAAUAAGACGUACCACAAGCAGUGUUUCCGGUGUGCAGGCUGUCGUAAGACCUUGGACUCCCACACUAUGACUCAGAGAGAGGAAGACCUCUUCUGUAAAAAUUGCUACAGCAAACAUUUUGGACCCAAAGGUUUUGGAUUUGGAUCCACCCUGCAACAUACGUGAUUAGCCCCGGCAACAUGAUCAGCCCUUGCAACCGCAGUGGACCAGACCUUCAGCAAUGUUUGUGUUGCCAAUCAAGUCUAUACAAAAUACUGUUUAUCAUUUACAAAUGAUCAAUUUUAUAUCAACUUAUAAAUAUUCUGUAGUGUUUAGACAGUUUUUGCAUUUAAUAAGCGAUUAAAAGAAGCUUUUGUUUGAUACUUACAAUUGGGACCUAAAAAAAAUGGAAACAUAACAAUCAAGUUCUUGUUUUUUAUGCCCCCUUUGGAAGAAAAGGGGGUAUAUAGUUUUCACUCUGUCCGUCUGUCAGUCUGUCACACUUUUCGUGUCCGCUCUCUAAUUCAAAUAGUUUUCAUCCGAUCUUUACCAAACUUAGUCAGAAGUUGUAUCUAGACAAUAUCUAGGUCAUGUUCGAAUAUGGGUCAUGCCCGGUAAAAACGAGGUCACAGGGUCACUGAGUGCAUUUCAAUAACUACUUACAAAGCAUUUAUUGGGGGCAUAUGUCAUCCUAUGGAGACAGCUCUUGUUUAUAUUAUUUGUUUAUCACCAAGUGCUCAUGGUGAACAAUUGUGAUCAGCCAAUGUCUGGCAGAUGAAUCAUGGGUCAACCUUUACCUCGUUAUUGAUGUAUAAAAGGCCACAUUUUUCAUCCCCUCUUGAAAAAACUUGUGUAUAAUGUUAUCCUGCCAACAUUCAGGUAGAGACUGAGUCAAAAGAGUUCAAAACAAGAUCACUCGGUGACAUCUUAGAAACCUUGUUAUCAAUUUAGAGGCCACAUUUAUCACUAAAUGCUGAUGAAACUUGGUUUAAAUGCGUACCAUUACAAUAUCGAGUCCAAUGAUGAAACUUGCCUAUGUUUUUCCAAAAAUAAGGUCGCCAGGUCAAAUCUUAUAAAAAUCAUCGUCUUGCUUGUGAACUAUCUAGAAGCCACAUUUUACAUCCAUUCUUGAUACAAUAUAGUCUUUAUCUUGACAAUACCUUGGCUGAUUUUAUAUUUCUUCAGAGUUUUAAUCUGUGUAAGAUGCUUCACAAACAAUUUCACUAGGUAAAAUCUUGCAAAAACCUUUUACUACUGUAGAGGCGACAUUUGUGACUCAAUAUUGAUGCAGUUUGGUUAGAUUGUUAACCCUUUCAGAGCGGGAACCGAAUUUUGAAGGCCUUUGCAAACAGUUUGGAUCCAGAUGAGAUGCCACAAAACGUAUCGUCUCAUCAGGAUCCAAACUGUUUGCUAUUCUGAUAAUAUUCUUUGAAAAAAAACACGAAGAAAAUGCUAAUGUUAGAAAUUCAGCAGACGACAUUUUAGCAGAUGAAAAAUUUCCCAGCAUGCAAAGGGUUAAGUAAGAAAUCUCAAUAAGUUGAGUAUGUAUCUUGGACAUGUAUCAACUAGGUCAGCAGGUCAAAUCAUAAAAAACAAAACAAUGUAAGUAUCAACUAGGUCAGCAGGUCAAAUCAUAAAAAACAAAACAAUGUAAGUAUCAACUAGGUCAGCAGGUCAAAUCAUAAAAAACAAAACAAUGUAAGUAUCAACUAGGUCAGCAGGUCAAAUCAUAAAAAACAAAACAAUGUAAGUAUCAACUAGGUCAGCAGGUCAAAUCAUAAAAAACAAAACAAUGUAAGUAUCAACUAGGUCAGCAGGUCAAAUCAUAAAAAACAAAACAAUGUAAGUAUCAACUAGGUCAGCAGGUCAAAUCAUAAAAAACAAAACAAUGUAAGUAUCAACUAGGUCAGCAGGUCAAAUCAUAAAAAACAAAACAAUGUAAGUAUCAACUAGGUCAGCAGGUCAAAUCAUAAAAAACAAAACAAUGUAAGUAUCAACUAGGUCAGCAGGUCAAAUCAUAAAAAACAAAACAAUGUAACAGUCUAUAGGCAUCAUUUAUAAUUCAAUCUUGACUAUACUUAGUAUGUUAACCUUGACAAUAUCUAGGCCAAGUUUAACUCUUUCAGUGCGGGAACCGAAUUUUGAAGGUCUGUGCAAACAGUUUGGAUCCAGAUGAGACGCCACAGAACGUGGCGUCUCAUCAGGAUCCAAACUGUUUGCUAUUCUGAUAGUAUUAUUUGAAAAAAAAAUCGAAGAAAAUGCUAAUUUAAGAAAUUUAGCAGACGACAUUUUAGCAGAUGACAAAUUUCCCAGCAUGCAAAGGGUUAAGUAAGGGUUAUAAGCAUGCACAAACGGGGUCACCAGGUUGAAUUAAAAAAAACUGUGUUUCCUCUUUAGAUGAUUUAUAUCUCUACCUUGAUAACACUCGGAAUGUUGAUCUUGACAUUAAAUAGACAUAGUUAAAAUCAGGGUCACAAGAGGGGAAAACUAGGUCACUGUGUAAAGUCUUGACAAUUGUUGUACCUAGAAUUAAGGUGAGAGCUUCAGUGCCCAGCAAUUAUGGCCUGCUUGUUGCUAGAUAUAUAUUGUAUGUGUAUUGGUACAGUUUCAUAGUUACUUUAGCUAGUUAUCUAUUAUAAUAUUUUAUAUAAGCAAGUUGAAUGCAAGUUUAAAUGCUGGGUAUGCUAAAGCAAACAUUAUAAUGUUGCUUUUUAAAAACGUUGUUGGGUUUUAUUCUCAAAUUACUGUAAGUUCAUCUGUUGUGAACAUUGGAAAAACAAGGGAAGAAAACUGGUAUGUGCUUUUAUAUUGUUUUAAUACCAGUAACAUGAAUGUUUUUUAUCAAAAUAUGUUUUUAUCAUGAUGCUUUUAUUGAAAUCUUUUAAUCUUAAUAAGAUUUUAAAAAACAAUAUUUAUGGAAUAGAACAAAAACAUGUAUUUGUCUUAAAAAAAAAACAAAAAACAAAUACAACAUUCCAUACAUGAAAUGUGCAGUUUUAUCAGUGUUAAGACUGCACAUACAUGACCAUGAUGAAAACUCAAAAACUCAUAUAAAUAUCUAAACAACAGAUAAUCAUCUCCAUUCUGAUUGGACCUGUGAUUUUAUGCAGCUUUUACUGCCAGUAAAAUAGCAUGAUUAAAUCUUGGGUAAUCACUCUGAUCCUUCAAUGGUGAAUUUUCAGAUCUGUAACACUUGUGCAUGAAGUUAUAUAUACAGUCCACUCUCGUUAUCUCGACAUCGGAUAUCUCGAUAUCCUCGAUAUGUCGAAGUAAGCUCAAUGUCCCAACUUUUUUCCUUCUUUAUCUAUAUAAAUAAACAUCGCAUAUCUCGAUUUUCGUUAUGUCGAAUAAUUCGAUAUCUCGAUAUAAAAUUUUGUCACGAGUCCCGAUUUUACAUGUAUUUACUGUGGUUUAUCUCGAAGUGCGAAUAACUGUUCCAGUGUCGGCAAAAGGUGCGAAUUUUUUUCUUUGAUACUUCACUGUCCCGCUUCGCCCGGCUGCUCCCGAUACUGUGCGGUAGGAAAUUGAUCCGUUAAUUGCAUCAAUGAUCAUACGUGUGUAAUGUCGUUAGCCAUUACCGAUAACACUUGAGUCAGGCCUGUCACUUUAACUGUCACAUUAACAUCAAUUAACUGCAAUUGACCAGUCGCCAAAUUAUCGAUCGCUCCGCCCACAUAGUCACGUGGUCUAGUGAUUAGAAAACUCCGACAAGCAGAUCGCAAUUAUAGCGCAUUACGUGAGUGAAAUACUAUACUUGUAACGAUGUAUCAUGCUCUUUUUAAAGAGCACUAAACUAAACUGCUUUGUACAACUUUAAUACAAUCAUAAGUGCUUUAGAGAGAAAUGGCGUGAUCAAAAUAAAUGAGUUAACUAUCAGAAACGUUUCUUAUACAUAUUACAGGAAGUUGAUGAAAAAUCAGUGGUAAAAAUGAGCAUUUAUUUCAUAUUGAUUUUGAACUUGUAUUAAAACCGUCUGGCAGUGAAUCCGGUUGCUAUUCAUAUAUAAUUUUGAAAAUAUUUUUAUUAAAUGCAAAUGACACAUCCAUAUCAUGAUGGGUUUUUUGUUUAUUAAAAAUGUUUAGAUCUUUGUUUAUUGGGUUAUUUUUAAAAAGACACCGAUUUUUUUUAAUUUAGAUAUAAAUUAAAUUUUGAUUGUAACCAUAAUAUAAUACAGGCCUAAUUUCGUGGUUUCAUUAACAGAUCUAAUAUGCAUUUUAUUUCAUUUAUGUUUAAUGGGAACCUGCUACAUUUCACUAUCGAAAAAAUGAAAUUUGGGUAUUACGGUGCUGUUCACGAACAUUCGAAUUGAAUACAUUUAGCAUAUUAUGCAUUUGUUUAUUUAUAGCAAGAUGGCCCUUAUAUGUUAAUUGCAAUUUUCACAUUUCUCACCGUAUCAAUAUAUGUUGUAUUAAAAAUGUUGUUGUUGUUGUUGUAUUAUAAGCCUUACAUUUUACACUUGAAGUCGCUUUAAGCUAGCUAAGCCUCGUUGAAAUCACCUUUUUGUUGUUUUAACUUUAGUUUAAACAAUAUUUAAGUUAACAAUUUGUAAUGAUUUCCAUUGUUUAUGAUCCACAGAAAAUAAAUAUAUAAUUGGAAAUCAUUUAAGAAAUUAUAUAUUUCUUUUCUUGUGUACAGUACCUAACAAUGCCUUAAUGUUCAUUCAUUCUGAGAUCCACGCAACAUACUGUCAUUUAUUAAUCAUCGACAAUUACGCUGAGAUUAAUAAGCACGUGUGGCAAUUAUUAUGUUGCCCAAAUUGCUUAAUAAUAUUGUGCAUCAGACGGUAUAACACGUUUUAUAGAACACACAACUGGUGUGGUUACACUAUUUAUUGUGUUUGUUUUCUCAUUACUCGUUCAUAUGUUCAAGAAAUAAAGAUAAAAUAAUAACCUUUUAUAAAGUAUGUAUAGCACCUAUAAUUUUGAAUAAUGAUCGUCGAACAGUAAUGAUCAUGCAUUUGAUAUAAAAUCUGUGUAAACCCUUAAAAAUUACGUCCAUUCCAUAUGUACGAUACGCUUUGUUUGUCGGACAAAAUGGCGGCCAGAUAAGCGUUGCUGAGGGGUGUGCGAAAACUCGCGAUCUGAUUGGCUGAUCGACAAAAUGUGGGCGGAGUUGGCGACUGGUCAAUUAAUACACAGCCUGCCGAAAGGCCGAAAUAUUAAUUGUUUUUUACAAACAACAUUCCAAAAUGAAUGGAGUUAUAUUUUUGCGUAUAUAAACCGUCGCAAAUUCGUCUUGAUUGGACGUCAAUUGCAUCAUAACUUUAAAUAGCUACAUUAACGGAUGUUUACUCGGCAGUUUAGAAAAAUUAUAACCGCAUGUGUUCAUGCAAUUCUGUAAUACUUAAAACGUCAUUUUAAGCAUUUAAAUAGCAAAAUGAAUCGUGCCUCGAAAAACGCGUAUAUAUCAGGUAAAGAUUAUUAUGCCACACGGUGACGGCUUUAGUUAGACCUCUUAGCAUGUAUUUAGAUGUUAAAAACAGGGUAAAUUUUCGUCUUAUUUUCUCUUUGAAAACGCCUAAUUGGAUAUCUCGAACUCUCGUUAUCUCGAUAUUUUUUCUUGUUCCCGCCGACUUCGAGAUAACGAGAGUGGACUGUAUACUAUUCAAAAUUUGCUAUGGAUCACUUUUUAUAGUAUGUGUAAUUUGAAUUUCACCCCUAGCUAGAUUUAUGCAUCAAUGAUAAAUCAAUACAUACAAAUAAAAACAAAAACACGUAUUUAAAUAUCAAAACAUGCAAAAUAACAAUUUUAAAUAAACGUAAUACAAAUUUGAAGAUAAUGUGAAAAUAAAAAGUGAUCUUUAGCAAAUUUUGAGUAGCGUAAUUGUGUGCAACAAACACAACAAAAAGCGUCAAUUCGCCAUAUAAAAGACUUUAUUAAUUUGACUGUUAUAAACAAAUAGUUGGAACUAGUUUCAUCUGUUCUGGAACUACAUAAAAGCAUACAAAAAAUAGUUUUACUUUUAUGAACAAUGGACCUAAUUCCAUCUUUAAUGGAACAACAAUGUAAGCAUAAAAUUAUAAGUUUCACUCUUAUCAACAAUAGAACUAGUUCUAUCUGUUAUGGAAUACCACAAUAAAAUCAUAUUUGUAAACAUUCCAUUGAUUAUUCAGUGUGUUCCUAUGAAGCCUGUUUUCUUAUGAAUGUAUUUGACACUAAUGCUAUGUUUUCCCUUAUCCACAUCACUUCAAUGAUCAGAAAUUUAUGACCAUUUACAGCCCAGUGUUUUGUUGUUGUUAAGAAUAUUGUAUUGAUAUGUUUGUAGAAGUAAACAUAGUAAUUUGAUUUGUUCGGUAACUGUUUUUGACACAAAUUGUUUGUUUUGAGACACACAUGGUAUUAUUGUGCAACAAUUUUAAUAUAAUAUAAACAUUUAUAAAAAAAAUGGGGCUGCUAAUGCCUGCUUUGAAAUCUUGAGAAUACUUAAUUUCUUCUGAUGUUAUAGAAUCAAUAGUUGAAAAUGUUUGUGUUGGAACUGAAGAUUUUAUACUAUAUUAUUCAUUAGAAUCACUUUUAUUCAUGGAAUGGAAAUGUAACCUUAUUAUUAUGCCCCCCUUCAAAGAAGAGGGGGUAUAUUGCUUUGCUUAUGUCGGUCAGUCGGUCUGUCUGUCGGUCGGUCCGUCCACCAGGCGGUUGUCAGACGAUAACUCAAGAACGCUUAGGCCUAGGAUCAUGAAACUUCAUAGGUACAUUGAUCAUGACCCACAGAUGACCCCUAUUGAUUUUGAGGUCACUAGGUCAAAGGCCAAGGUCACUGUGAUCCGAAAUAGUAAAAUGGUUUCCGGAUGAUAAUUCAAGAACGCUUAUGCCUAGGAUCAUGAAACUUCAUAGGUAGAUUAAUCAUGACUAGCAGAUGACCCCUAUUGAUUUUCAGGUCACUAGGUCAAAGGUCAAGGUCACGGUGACCCGAAAUAGUAAAAUGGU